ensembl:misc_RNA Metazoa_SRP Metazoan signal recognition particle RNA
GCUGGGCGCGGUGGCUCAUGCCUGUAAUCCCAGCACUUCGGGAGGCUGAGGCAGGUGGAUCACCUGAGGUCAGGAGUUCGAGACCAGCCUGGCCAACAUGGUGAAACCCUGUCUCUU